rnacentral:rRNA from 1 species
AUUGAACGCUAGCGGGAUGCUUUACACAUGCAAGUCGAACGGCAGCGCGGACUUCGGUCUGGCGGCGAGUGGCGAACGGGUGAGUAAUGUAACGGAACGUGCCCAGUAGCGGGGGAUAACUACGCGAAAGCGUAGCUAAUACCGCAUACGCCCUACGGGGGAAAGCAGGGGAUCGUAAGACCUUGCACUAUUGGAGCGGCCGAUAUCGGAUUAGCUAGUUGGUGAGGUAACGGCUCACCAAGGCGACGAUCCGUAGCUGGUUUGAGAGGACGACCAGCCACACUGGGACUGAGACACGGCCCAGACUCCUACGGGAGGCAGCAGUGGGGAAUUUUGGACAAUGGGGGCAACCCUGAUCCAGCCAUCCCGCGUGUGCGAUGAAGGCCUUCGGGUUGUAAAGCACUUUUGGCAGGAAAGAAACGUCGCGGGCUAAUACCCCGUGGAACUGACGGUACCUGCAGAAUAAGCACCGGCUAACUACGUG